rnacentral:rRNA from 1 species
AUGGCCGAGAUGAGCGGGGCGAAGGCGGCGAGCCUCGCCUUGCACAUCGUGGCGCUGGCGCUGUCGGUGGGCGCCGCCGUCGUGAUGGGCAGCGUCGUCUCCUACAACAGCGCUCUGGUCUACUUCGUGGUGGGCAGCGUCGUCUCGGCCGUCUGCUCGGCGCUGGCGCUCUACCUGUUCGUCGUGCACGGGGGCGGCGGCUCGAUCGUCGUGUCUCUCCUCGACGCCGCCGCGCAGGCCCUCCUGUUUUCGGCGUCCGGCGCGGCGCUCGCCGCGCGCGGCUGCUUCGCCGGCGGGGCGGACGCGUUCCGCGGGAGGGUGGGCAUCGCGGCGGCCGUUGGCACGUGCGCGGCCGCUGCCGUCUUGGUCGCGGCGCUGGCAGGGAACGCGCCACGCUAG